rnacentral:rRNA from 1 species
CGGACGGGUGAGUAAUGUCUGGGAAACUGCCCGAUGGAGGGGGAUAACUACUGGAAACGGUAGCUAAUACCGCAUAACGUCGCAAGACCAAAGAGGGGGACCUUAGGGCCUCUUGCCAUCGGAUGUGCCCAGAUGGGAUUAGCUUGUAGGUAAGGUAACGGCUUACCUAGGCGACGAUCCCUAGCUGGUCUGAGAGGAUGAUCAGCCACACUGGAACUGAGACACGGUCCAG